rnacentral:lncRNA from 1 species
GGUAACUCGGCAACAAACCAAGAUGGCCGCCAUGGCUAAAAAUAGAACAUGGGGGUACAAUGCAGUUUUUGGCUUAUAACUCAAAAACCAAAGCAUUAAGAGCAAAUCUGUGUGGGUAAAAUUGUUCAUCAGGUCACGAUCUAUCUGCCCUGGAAUUUUCAGAUGAAUCUGACAACCUGUUGUUAGGUUGCUGCCCCUGAAUUGGUAAUUUUGAGGAAAUUUGCUGUUUUUUUGUUAUUAUCUUGAAUAUUAUUAUAGAUAGAGAUAAACUGUAAACAGCAAUAAUAUACAGCAAAGUAAGAACUAAAAAUAAGUCAGUAUGACCAAAAUAGUCAAUUGACCCCCUAAGGAGUUAUUGCCCUUCAUAGUCAAUUUUUAACAAUUUUCUUAAAAUUUGAAGAUUUUCAAUAACAUUUUCCACAGAAAGUACUGUUAUAGAUAGAGAUAAUUGUAAGCAGCAAGAAUGUUUAGUAAAGUAAGAUCUACAAACACAUCACCAUCACCAAAAC